rnacentral:rRNA from 1 species
UACGAAGGGGGCUAGCGUUGCUCGGAAUGACUGGGCGUAAAGGGCGCGUAGGCGGCGCGCACAGUCGGACGUGAAAUUCCCGGGCUCAACCCGGGGGCUGCGUUCGAUACGUGCGUGCUCGAGUCCGGAAGAGGGUGGCGGAAUUCCCAGUGUAGAGGUGAAAUUCGUAGAUAUUGGGAAGAACACCGGUGGCGAAGGCGGCCACCUGGUCCGGUACUGACGCUGAGGCGCGAAAGCGUGGGGAG